CAGAGUUAUCCAACUCCCAAACCCAUGUGAACAUAUCUCUUUGUUGCCUCGGCGCAAGCUACCCGGGACCUCGCGCCCCGGGCGGCCCGCCGGCGGACAAACCAAACUCUGUUAUCUUCGUUGAUUAUCUGAGUGUCUUAUUUAGUAAGUCA
rnacentral:misc_RNA from 1 species